rnacentral:rRNA from 1 species
GACACGGCCCAGACUCCUACGGGAGGCAGCAGUGGGGAAUAUUGGACAAUGGGCGCAAGCCUGAUCCAGCCAUACCGCGUGUGUGAAGAAGGCCUUCGGGUUGUAAAGCACUUUAAGCAGGGAGAAAAAGUUAUAGGUUAAUACCCUAUGACCUUGAUGUUACCUGCAGAAUAAGCACCGGCUAAUUCCGUGCCAGCAGCCGCGGUAAUACGGAAGGUGCAAGCGUUAAUCGGAAUUACUGGGCGUAAAGCGCGCGUAGGUGGUUUGUUAAGUUGGAUGUGAAAGCCCUGGGCUCAACCUAGGAACUGCAUCCAAAACUAACUCACUAGAGUACGAUAGAGGGAGGUAGAAUUCAUAGUGUAGCGGUGGAAUGCGUAGAUAUUAUGAAGAAUACCAGUGGCGAAGGCGGCCUCCUGGAUCUGUACUGACACUGAGGUGCGAAAGCGUGGGUAGCGAACAGGAUUAGAUACCCUGGUAGUCCACGCCGUAAACGAUGACAACUAGCUGUUGGGAGACUAUGUCUUUCAGUGGCGCAGCUAACGCUUUAAGUUGUCCGCCUGGGGAGUACGGCCGCAAGGCUAAAACUCAAAUGAAUUGACGGGGACCCGCACAAGCGGUGGAGCAUGUGGUUUAAUUCGAUGCAACGCGAAAAACCUUACCUACUCUUGACAUACUUGGAGGCUCUUGUAAUGAGAGCGUGCCUUUUGGAACCAAGAUACAGGUGCUGCAUGGCUGUCGUCAGCUCGUGUCGUGAGAUGUUCCGUUAAGUCGGAUAACGAGCGCAACCCUUACCCUUAUUUGCCAGCGAUUCGGUCGGGAACUAUAAGGGGACUGCCGGUGAUAAACCGGAGGAAGGUGAGGACGACGUCAAGUCAUCAUGGCCCUUACGAGUAGGGCUACACACGUGCUACAAUGGAGAAUACAGACGGACGCUAAGCCGCGAGGUGGUGCUAAUCCUAGAAAGUUCUUCGUAGUCCGGAUUGGAGUCUGCAACUCGACUCCAUGAAGUCGGAAUCGCUAGUAAUCGUAGAUCAGAAUGCUACGGUGAAUACGUUCCCGGGCCUUGUACACACCGCCCGUCACACCAUGGGAGUGGGUUGCUCCAGAAGUGGUUAGUCUAACCUUCGGGAGGACGAUCACCACGGAGUGAUUCAUGACUGGGGUGAAGUCGUAACAAGGUAGCCGUAGGGGAACCUGCGGCUG